AGCCACAGCAACAUGGCGGCACUUCGGCAAUUUCCGGACCCCUUCGGCAACUUCCGGACUCCCUCGGCAAUUUCCGGACCCUUUCGGCUCUUUCCGAGCCCCGGUUCGGUCUCUCCGUCUAUUUCCGGUCCGCUCCGCUUACUUCCGGCCCGGUUCCGUUAAUUCCGCUUCGGCUCUUUCCGGACGAGCUCGGCUCUUUUCGGCUCGGUUCCGAUUCCUCCGGCCUAGUUGGGCCCAGUUUGUCCCAGUUCCAGCCCAGUUCGGCCCAGUUUGGGCCCAGUUCAGCGUCUCCGGCCGCCCCUCAGCCCCCGGCCCGGCCCAUGGGCUCCUCCCCCGCCGCAGGAGGAGGACGAGGAUGAGGAGGACGAGGAGGAAGAGCCCGGGACGGCUCUGAGGAGCCGCUUCAAGGCAUGGCCGGACCCUCAGGAGGGUCCGCUUCGCCUCCGGUUCGGCUCCGCUUCGGUUCCGCCGUUCGGCUCUUUCCGUGUCCCGCUUCGGUGGCGCUCGGCUCCGUUCGGCUUUUUCCGGCUCUUUUCGGCUCCGCUCGCUCCCGGCGCACUGCGGCGCCUGAGGGGAGGGGGGGCGGGACCAGCGCGGUGACGUCAGAAAAUGGGCGGGGCUUAACGAAACCACGCCCCCAGCCGGAACCGGUCCCUCCCCGGUGUCCCCGAAAGGGUCGCGAUGUCCCCAAGGGUGCCCCCGGUGUCCCCAAGGGUGUCCCCGGUGUCCCCAGGGGUGUCCCAGUGUCCCCAAAUCCUUCCCAGGGUCCCCAAGGGUGUCCCAGGGUCCCCAAAAUGUCCCCAAGUCCCUCCCAGUGUCCCCAAGGGUGUCCCCGGUGUCCCCAAGGCCCUCCCGGUGUCCCCAAGGAUGUCCCCAAGUCCCUUUCAGUGUCCCCAAGUCCCUCCUGGUGUCCCCAAGUCCCUCCUGGUGUCCCCAAGGAUGUCCCCAUGUCCCUCUCGGUGUCCCCAGGGUGUCCCAGUGUCCCCAGGUGUCCCCAGGGUGUCCCCAAGUCCCCAAAUCCUUCCCAGUGUCCCCAAGGAUGUCCCCAAGUCCCUCCUGGUGUCCCCAGGGGUGUCCCCAGGUCCCUCCCGGUGUCCCCAGGGCUGUCCCCAAGUCCCUUUCAGUGUCCCCAAGUCCCUCCCGGUGUCCCCAAAUCCAUCCCCAGCUUGUCCCAGUGUCCCCAGGUCCCUCCUGGUGUCCCCAAGGCCCUCCCGGUGUCCCCAAGGAUGUCCCCAA
rnacentral:lncRNA from 1 species